rnacentral:rRNA from 1 species
UACGGAGGGUGCAAGCGUUAUCCGGAUUCACUGGGUUUAAAGGGUGCGUAGGAGGGCAGGUAAGUCAGUGGUGAAAUCUCCGAGCUUAACUUGGAAACUGCCGUUGAUACUAUCUGUCUUGAAUAUUGUGGAGGUUAGCGGAAUAUGUCAUGUAGCGGUGAAAUGCUUAGAUAUGACAUAGAACACCAAUUGCGAAGGCAGCUCGCUACACAUAUAUUGACUCUGAGGCACGAAAGCGUGGGGAUCAAACAGG